rnacentral:rRNA from 1 species
UACGUAGGGACCAAGCGUUGUUCGGAUUUACUGGGCGUAAAGCGUGCGCAGGCGGUUUCGUAAGUCUGUCGUGAAAUCCCCGGGCUUAACCUGGGAAUGGCGAUGGAGACUGCGAGGCUAGAGUUUGGCAGAGGGGGGUAGAAUUCCACGUGUAGCAGUGAAAUGCGUAGAGAUGUGGAGGAACACCGAUGGCGAAGGCAGCCCCCUGGGUCAAAACUGACGCUCAUGCACGAAAGCGUGGGGAGCAAACAGG